CUCACUUGCCAGCAGCCAUCUUGGCAUGGCCUUCUCAUUUCACCACAAUAAUGGACAGCUUGUUGGUUCCAAAUUUUGUCUAUUGUGAACAGUGCUGCUAUAAACACGGUGGAGCAGGUGAAGGAGAAGGGGCCAUGGAGGAAGAUGGACUUUCUGAGCAGAAGAAAUGCAUGGCAAGGAGGUGCACAUGGGAUCUGGUCGUGAAACACGGUAAUUCCGGUGACACUCAACCCAUGAAUGAUUCCUGUGUUGGUCUACUGAGGAUGCUAUAACAAAAUGCCAUGGACUGGGUGGCCCAAGAAGCAAAGAAUAAAAAUCUAUUUUUAUCAAAAUUCUAGAGGCAAGUUUACACCAGGUUGGUUUCUGGUGAGAUCUCCCUCUCUCUGAGGCUUGCAGAGGAAAGCAAUCCCACCAUGUCCUCACAUGACUUAUCCUCCGUGCUCAUGGUGUAUCUUCCAUUUUUUCUAAGGAUGCUAGUUGUAUUAGGUUGAAGUCCUAUCUUUACAAUCUCAUUUAACAUUAACUACAUGCUUACACAUCCUAUUUCCAAGUACAAUCAAAUUGGGGGUUAGGCUUCAACCUCUGAAUUUCAGACCUUAACACUGCCUGUGAUAUGGUUCAAGUGUUUUUCAUUUAGAAUAAUCACACAAAUUUUUCUGUGACAGCACUUUUGUCUAUGUUUUGUUAUUUUUUAUCUCUCCUCCAAUAUCUUAGAACACAUUUUAUAAAUCUACCGGUAGUCUAUAACACAGUACCACCCAGUGUGUGCACAUUAUAUGUUUGCUAGGGAAAUAAAUGGAGAUAUGAGUGAAUGAUGAGUGAAUGACACCAUGAAAUUCAAGUCAACUCUGAAAAGUUCCGAUUGCAUCACAUUAUUAACCUAACCACAACAUGACUUAGAAAUUAAAUUAAUAAAGCAACAAAAAACAUUGACUUCACAUGCAAUUGCUUAAUUUUACAUCUUUUACCAUUUUACUUUACCAAUGAAUGAUACUUGAAUGUCAGUCUCUUCAAUUAAAUGGGUAGCUUCAUGGGAAAAAGGGCCAUAAAUUUUAUCACUGUAUUGCUCGUAGGUACACCCAGUAGUUCCUCACAAAGUGAUAAGGAGCAGAGAAGACAACAUAUCAUUAUUUUGGGGGAAUGCUUUACAUCAGAAAUUUUACACUUUUUAAUCAUUUGAUUCUCACAAAUAACUUUACAAUGAGAUGUUAUUUAAUCAUGAUAUAGUUGAGCACACUGAUGUUAAGGAAGAAUAAGUCCACAUUUCCAAAGCAUAGGAGACUAAAUAUUACAGCCAUCAUUGCUUUCAUCUCUUUAUAUAAUGAUGAGGAAUCUAUUUCCCCACUUCUAACCAAUAAAAAAGUAGCAGAAUGACUCCUGUAUAAUUUAAAAUCUUUACUUGCAGUUCCUAAGUCCACAUGGGAGAGUAAGUUUAUGUGGGAUUUUUCUCCAUCCCUUAUCUGAAAUCUCAGAUGCCCACAGUUACAAAAAGGAUUCUAGAGAAGGCCUAAAGGGAAACUGCCAAAUGAGCUAAACUCUACUUGUGAAUACAAAGAAUAAUGAACAAUUAUAUAGCUGUUUUAUGCUAGCAUAUUUCAUGAAGGUUUGUUACACAAAAAGAGACAGAAAUAGCAAGGAAUGGGCAGUGUAGCAAGUAUGGGGAAACUUCAAAAAGUUCAUGGAAAAGUAAAUCAAAAACUAAAUUUGAUUUAGGUCAAAAAUAAUUUAAAUUCAUAGAAAGUUUUCUCAAAAUAUGCACUUUAAUUGAAAUCUGAGUAUAGAUCUACCAUAUGUUCUACCCAUCCCACUCCUGGGAAUUUAUCCCAGUGAAAACAAAUCAUCAUAUGAGAGUUAUCUGUAACCCCCAUGUUUACAGCAGCUCAAUUCAAAAGAGCUAAGAUAUGGAGUCAAUCCAGAAGUCUGUCCACUGAUGUUUGAAUAAAUACAUUAUGGCAUAUAUAUAUAUAUAUAUAUAUACACACACACACACUAUAGAGUACUAUUCGGCUGUAAAAAGAGAAAUCAUGCCUUUUGCAACAAAAUGGAUCCAACAAACUUAGAGUGAAAUAAGCCAGUUCCAAAAAGACAGAUAUUAUAAUUUUUCCUGAUCUGGGGUAAAUAAUAGAGUACCUGAAAUGUGAGUAUUGGAGUGAAAAGGACACUUUCAGAUCUGAUGAUUGUUGAUAGCCCCUGUCUCUACUGUUGAAGGACAAGGUUUUUUUUAUUGCUGGUCUUCAUACUGCUUGUCGAACUCUUUAAUUAGUGUAGGGUUAACUUUAUGAGUAUAAAGAAACUGAAAAUAGAUCUCUAUAAACAGUGGAAAUAGGAGAGAGGAGAGGAAAAAGGGUUGGACUGUGGCUGAGAGGAAGGGCAGGU